UACGAAGGGGGCUAGCGUUGCUCGGAAUCACUGGGCGUAAAGGGUGCGUAGGCGGGUUUUUAAGUCAGAGGUGAAAUCCUGGAGCUCAACUCCAGAACUGCCUUUGAUACUGAAGAUCUUGAGUUCGGGAGAGGUGAGUGGAACUGCGAGUGUAGAGGUGAAAUUCGUAGAUAUUCGCAAGAACACCAAUGGCGAAGGCAAUGUUCUGGCUCGUUUCUGACGCUCAGGUGCGAAAGCCAGGGGAGCGAACGGG
rnacentral:rRNA from 1 species